AUGAACGGCACCGCCGGUGUGGGAGUGAAGCUGAGGCAGAUUUAUUCGUCCGGGCGCCGCUCCCACCACCAGAACGGCACACCACGACCUACAAAUCCAAAACCUAACUACAGAACGGAGGAACGGGGUCCCCCCUCCCUCCUGCCGCCGGAGCAGCCGGGGGGAGAGGGGGCCAACCCCUGGCCGGCUGAGAUCGGAGGAAAAAAGUCGCCUCCCAAGUCGCCUGGCGUGGCGGCGGCUAGGGUAGGGAAGUCGCGAUUCUCGGGCUCCCGCGCCCCCUUGCUACUGGGUCACCAAACCCCUGACGAAUUGAUUUUCCAAAGGACAAGAGACUGGGCGGGAGCAAAGAUUGCUUCAUGGGAUUGGUCUUGGGAAUUUUGUCGUGCAUCCUCCAACAACCAACGGUGUUGCAAGGAAUAUGAUACUGUUGGGACGGAUGCUGGAUCGACGUUGGUGAAUAGUUCGCCGGUUAUUUUUCGCUGGUUUUAUUUCGUCCCAUCACUUUCGUCGGUUUUUUUUCGUCUCCCCUCCCCCUCCCACACGCAAGACGCCGCGAUCUCUUGCGAUCUUGCUGCCUCCGGGAUCGGCGUCUCUCGCCGCCACCGACCUCCAGGAUCGGCGUCUCUCGCUACCGCGGGAUCCCGCAUCAUACCAGAGGAGACACUGUCUACGGAAUCCGGGAUCAACGCCGCGGACGUAAGGGAUCACCGUCGCCGACCUUCCAGACGAGACAUCGCCGCCGCCGACCUCCGAGGGGAGACGCCGCCGCCACCUGUCGUAAACCCUAGGACAGGGCGGUUUCAACUUUCAACCCCAGGGCAGGCCGACAACUUGUCGAUUUGUUGUUCUUCCCUUAUAAGAUCCUUGAGGAUAGGUGCGGCAACUAGCGACACAUGGUGGAGCUUCUGGCGGCGGCAUUACCUGUAUCCACCUCUCCCUGUUGCGGGGUGGAAGUUGUCGAUGUUGUUCAAUUGUAUGCUGCCCCUUGAGGGGAAGCCGUGCGUGCGCCCAGUGAGGAGAAGCGGCAAGGGCUCCAGGUGUGAGAGGCUGAAGCUCGGGGACGACGCCAUCAUGCACAAGAGGGCAUACAGGAGAAUUAUAAUUGCCGGCUGCCGUGCAAAACCACCUUUGGCGAUCAAGAAACAAGAGUCGGCGGCGGCUGGAGCCAUCAUUGACCACGACCGUGCCAGGAGCACCGGGGAAAAGGCGAGGACAUGUUGUUUAUUCUUCUUGCUGGAAGGAUAUGUCGUGAAAGAUGAUCCAGAUGCUAUUAAAGAUAUGGUUGCUCUUGCUUCAUCUAAAUGGGAGCAUCAACUACAUGUUAUGUCAGGCUUGACCAUAUCAGAGAGAGAGAGAGAGAGAGAGAGAGAGAGAGAGAGGGAGGGAGGGAGGGAGGGAGAUGCAAUUUCCUGGAUAUUUAUGACUCUAUUCAGGUAUGACUCUAUUGUCGUCCUUCUCUUGUUCACCCGGAAGUUUAUUGACAGGAAGGAAGCCACUUCUGCUUUGAUGAUUUCUUGGAAGUUCAGAUCCUUGAGGUCAGGUGCGGCAACUAGCAACAUGUGCUGGAGCUUCUGGCGUCGCUGGCGGCGGCAUUACCUAUAUGGACCUCUCCCUGGUCGCUUUCAAGAGUGUGUGCGGGCUUGCCCGGCGACAGGAAAAGCACAAGCUUCAGAGCCACAAUCCCCGGCUGCACCGCGGGCUUGCCCGGCGACAGCGUCUCCUGUGGUGGUGAGGAGGGAGGGAGGGUUAGGCUGCCGGGAGGGGCGGCGCGUGGGAGGGAGGCUGUGUCCACAUGUGCAAACAGAUGGCCCUGCUCAUCGGGCUCAAGUAGCAGCGAGCAAGGCCAGCGACAACGGAAAUGUUAUGGCUGGCACCCAUGCACCUCUACUUGACUUCAAUGCACCUUUGUGUUCUGUAAUCCUUUUCCAACAAUCUGAUGGUUUGUGCAGACCAUCAGAGGUGGGGCACUUGGAAGGUGGGGGCAUUAAAGAGCAGAUGAACUGGGCUGAGGCCCUCGUGGCUGCACUCGAAGUUGAGAACAACAAGGAGAUGGGGAUGAAUGGAGCGUCAAGUACUAUUGUGUGCAUGGAUCUUCUUAUGCUGACCAUCUUGAAAUGGAGAUUGCAGGCCUUGUCUCUGUUUACUUUCGUCAUCACCUACUUUCCGAAGAAGUUUGGUGAUGGAAGCCAUCGAGUUUUGUACUUAUCUUAUAUGCAGACAUCAUUGUUGUUAGUACAGAAGUUCCAUUAA
rnacentral:rRNA from 1 species